rnacentral:misc_RNA from 1 species
GAUGAAGAACGUAGCGAAAUGCGAUACGUAAUGUGAAUUGCAGAAUUGAGUGAAUCAUCGAGUCUUUGAACGCACAUUGCGCCCCCUGGUAUUCCGGGGGGCAUGCCUGUCCGAGCGUCAUUGCUGCCCUCAAGCACGGCUUGUGUGUUGGGCCUCCGUCCUCCUCCCGGGGGACGGGCCCGAAAGGCAGCGGCGGCACCGCGUCCGGUCCUCGAGCGUAUGGGGCUUCGUCACCCGCUCUUGUAGGCCCGGCCGGCGCUUGCCGACACAUCAAUCUUUUUUCCAGGUUGACCUCGGAUCAGGUAGGGAUACCCGCUGAACUUAAGCAUAUCAAUAAGCGGAGGA